rnacentral:rRNA from 1 species
AGCAGCCGCGGUAAUUCCAGCUCCAAUAGCGUAUAUUAAAGUUGUUGCAGUUAAAAAGCUCGUAGUUGAAUUUCGGGAUUGACACAUCGGUCGUGCCUUAAGGGGUAUGAACUGGUGUAGUCAAUUUCUCACCUUCUGGAGAACCGCGAUGCCCUUAAUUGGGUGUCGCGGGGAACCAGGACCUUUACUUUGAAAAAAUUAGAGUGUUUAAAGUAGGCAUUUUGCUUGAAUACAUUAGCAUGGAAUAAUAAAAUAGGACGGCAUGAUUCUAUUUUGUUGGUUUCUAGGAUCACCGUAAUGAUUAAUAGGGAUAGGUUGGGGGCAUUAGUAUUCAAUUGUCAGAGGUGAAAUUCUUGGAUUUAUUGAAGACUAACUACUGCGAAAGCAUUUGCCAAGGAUUGUUUUCAUUAAUCAAGAACGAAAGUUAGGGAUCGAAGACGAUCAGAUACCGUGUAGUCUAACAUAAACUAU